rnacentral:rRNA from 1 species
UACGUAGGGUGCAAGCGUUAAUCGGAAUUACUGGGCGUAAAGAGCGUGUAGGCGGCCAGAUAAGUCCGCUGUGAAAUCUCGAGGCUCAACUUCGAGCUGUCGGUGGAAACUGUCUGGCUAGAGUCCGGAAGAGGAGAAUGGAAUUCCUGGUGUAGCGGUGAAAUGCGCAGAUAUCAGGAAGAACACCCGUGGCGAAGGCGGUUCUCUGGGACGGUACUGACGCUGAGACGCGAAAGCGUGGGGAGCGAACAGG